rnacentral:rRNA from 1 species
AUUGAACGCUGGCGGCAUGCCUUACACAUGCAAGUCGAACGGCAGCACGGGAGCAAUCCUGGUGGCGAGUGGCGAACGGGUGAGUAAAGUAUCGGAACGUGCCCAGUCGAGGGGGAGAACGUAGCGAAAGAUACGCUUAUAACGCACACGAUCUAUGGAUGAAAGCGGGGGAUCGCAAGAACUUGCGCGAUUGGAGCGGCCGAUAUCAGAUUAGGUAGAUGGUGGGGUAAAGGCUCACCAAGCCGACGAUCUGUAGCUGGUGUGAGAGGACGACCAGCCACACUGGGACUGAGACACGGCCCAGACUCCUACGGGAGGCAGCAGUGGGGAAUUUUGGACAAUGGGCGCAAGCCUGAUCCAGCCAUGCCGCGUGCAGGAUGAAGGCCUUCGGGUUGUAAACUGCUUUUGUACGGAACGAAAAGGUUUGACUUAAUACGUUGGACUCAUGACGGUACCGUAAGAAUAAGCACCGGCUAACUACGUGCCAGCAGCCGCAGUAA